rnacentral:misc_RNA from 1 species
UUUAAAUGGAUGCCUGUGAUAUUCUGCCAUUGAAAUUUAAAAUCCAGCAAAGAAACCUUUAAUUCUUGUAAUCUAUAAAAUAUUUAAGCACAUAAAAUUAAGCAUAUUUCUACCAAAUAUUUAAUCAUAUUACUUAUAAUAUUUCAACUAUUUAAGAAUUUUUGGGAACAAAGAGAGGGGAGGAAUGAAAAUGGAAAAAAAGAAAAUGAGAGGGCUCUCUCUCUCCCUCUCUCUCUUUUUCAAUAAAAAAACUGAUUAUGAUGUUCAUUUGAUGUCUUAAAUUUUUCAUUGUUUCGAAAUAGUUGUGGCUGGAAAAGUGUAAUCUUCAAUACAAUUCCAGUUCGAGCAACUGGUUUAGAAAUUAUAAAAGGAAAAAUAUUUCAUUUGAGUUUGUGCCCUAAAAA